GGGCUCGUAGUUUAAUGGCAAAACACUACAUUCGCAUUGUAGAGAUAUGGGUUCGACUCCCAUCGAGUCCAC
rnacentral:tRNA from 1 species